UAGGACCCCUAAAGUUGGAGCGGAGAGAUUUUGUGGCAACGAUGAGAAAGGGGAAGUUGGAGAGGUAAACUAUGCAGCAGGAGAAGAGGAAGGGUGAUACAGGGGUGGUAUUUGUGUGUUCUUUGCCUACCACCGUACGCUCGUUAGUAGACAGAAGUUGUGGUCAGCUCCCUAAAAUAACGGGUAGAGGAAGGCCACUACCCUGUUUAACCUCGGCGGGCCCUAAGCCACAGAGGAGCGGCGAUGGAGAUGGUGAAACGCCGUGGCGUCUACGAACGACGGCCUAGGUUUAGGGGGACGACCUGUCUAGACGUCGGUAGUGGCGGUAGCGGUGCGACGAGACACUGAUGUAGAAGAAGAAGGGGUCAGACCACUGCGCGAGCUUGUUGUGGAGUGGAUCGUGGUACCCGCCGUAGAGGUCGAGAGGUCGUGGAGGGGAUACCACCCACUCCGGUACUCCGUGACCGACACCUACACCUGAACGUCCGCGAGGAAGAGCGGCUGCUGUUGCUUGAUAAGGUGGAGUUGGUUCGCUCCUGCCUCGCAGGUCGUGGCACGAUAGGUAGUAGACGUAGGCUGACACUCCGCCUCAUACUCUGGGGCAAACGUUCUUUUUUGGUACCACGCGCAAGAAUGAAGGAGAGGAACGAAGGAGGAUGAGCCCUAACAAGUUGGACGUUAAUCAAGCAACUGAUAUCCGAUCCAAUGGCAGACGUAAUUGGGACAAGACAAAACGUCAACUCUUAGUAUACCACUACGAAACCUUAUAAAUUGGGAAUCUCGGAAAUAUGUGAAUAUUCCGACUUCUUAUAUGGUGAGGUUCACAAUCGAAACGUUCCCCAAGGACAAGACGGUUUAUUUCCUAUGCUUACGGUAGAUGGUAUGUAACUUUUCAAAGAUGUUCCUCUAUCACACGUCAAUAAAACAAGGCUACUUAGAAAGAAUACGCUCUCAUACAUACACACUUAAAACAAAUGUUAAAUACCUACUACUAACCUUUCAUGUACCCAUGACGAAACUUUAAUCCUUCCUGAUUCCUCCUCAUCGGAUUAAUUGGUCUCAGUCAUGUUUAAAUCCAAUACAUCACACGGUUACAACUAUCGAGGAUCCAUGCUGAUCGACCAACAUUCCUACCAGGACCAUACGUUACUAGAUUACUAGAACUCACUUCACCUGGAGAAUUAGGAUAAAUGAACCUGAUAGACUUAAACGUAGAAGGAAUAAACAAUAAUGUGCAACGCUACACAGGAGAGACAACGUGACCACUCACUCGUUCAGCAACAAGGAUGUGUUCUAAGUCAGUGGAAGACGCAGCAUCCUAACAGUGUGUGAUUAUGAAGCAUCCCGACAGUGUAUGAUUAUAAAAAUUACCGACCUGUAUAUCUAAACAAACCUAUUAAACACAACAACAACGAAUAAAUUUUAAACUAACAAGAAACUGAUAAACAAAACUAAACUCAUCAAUGUGGUUGUGGAACUCCAUGAUAAUCAGACGAUAAUUGAGUGGGUGAGAGUAAAACAAACACGUUUGUAAAAAAAUCAGUACAGCUGUUCCAUCAACUACUUUUAAGUUUGUUCGACGUUCACUCCACUGGCCACAUUAGAAAUAUUACAUCAGUUUCUUAUUGGGGUAGAGGGAGUACAACAAGAUUAAGAUGUAUACAAUAAAACUUCAAUAAUUAAACAAAAAAUGAGAAACUAAAUUGCUGAAGAGAACUGGUACAUACUUUCGAUUUUUAUAUAACCAUCGUACUAAAGAAAUUAGUAUGUAAAUAACAUGUGUUUUACAUUGUCUACAGGAGGAUAGAUUAACAGUUCAACGAAAUAUGUGUCCUUCCAUCAUGUUAUAUACAGGUCGGAAGUUUAGUCUAUAUAUACUUAAAAUACGGUUCACUCCGAGAAAGUCAGAGGUACGAUCUCAGACUUCUAACACCAGAAGAGACUCUCGAAGAACUGUAUCCAAACGGUUUUGUUGUACAAUAGUGGUAAUAAUAGUUAGGUAUUGCUUGAUAAUAUCAUCAAAGUCCAAAAAGAAGGUUACAACCAUUCACCAGUAUGUUGUAACGAUCGACUCCAUUGAUUGACGUCUAACAGUGAGUUCUAACAUGCGUUAUCCCAUCCGUUGUAAGUUCCUCGUUUGAUUGUUUUGCAAUCAAACAUAUUAAAGGACCAACAAAAAGAACAGAACUUCAAGAACAUCAUAUUUAUAAAACAGGAUAAAUGUAUAUCAUCUAUAACCACGAACGGUAACUUGACGCGCUGUUACCGUGUAAUAGUUACGGUCAUAAAAGUGUACUUCCCCGACACAUACUGACGAUAAAAUAAUAAGAGUGACGGUAAGUGUUGGUACUGGAUAGUUAAAAUUAUGAUAUAUGAGUAAACAAAUACAGUAUAUGAAAAUAUAACAACUUUAAGUAGAUAUUUAAUGACGUCGUUGCGCACCCCAUAGUAGAUCAAAUGCUUCAUAAGUACGGUACAAAUGUUAUUAAAAUAUAUCAAAACCAUACUAAACUUACCUUGAUUGGGCCUGACUACAACAAAUGUCAUCUUGAUGGUACCACAACAAAAAACACGUCUUUAUUUUCAAGAGCCUUAUCCGACUUUUAAAUGCCACUAAAAAAUACCUGUUUUUCUCUGGGUACUUCAAAACUCCUUCCCGGUCUUCUCGGUACUCCCGUACUGUUCGGACCCCCGCGUGGGAGGGUGAUCCAACGCGGGGAACUCGAACAGUGAAGGAACACCUGGGGGACUGUAAUAAGGUUGCGGUUUAUAAGGAUAUACAACUCCUUUGGGGGUUUUCUUUGGAUCUACUCAACAAGGCGGCGGUGUUCGGAGAUAUGGUUUCGUUAGAGGUAGUCUCCGGACAAAACCGUGGGACGGCUUCUCCUUUUAGUAGUGGCCUUCGGUAGAAGUAGUGGGACCGCCAGAUGUACUGCUCCUCCCUCAUCAAGUGGGAGCACCGAUUCCCAUACAUGGUCAUCGAUACACAAACUAGAGAGAGAGUACAAGAACUAGGCCGUGCUAGAAUUACAUUGGUACCCGAAACAAUUAUAUCAGCCUAGUAUACCAUAAAAAGGGAGAGAUGGAACAACACUACUUAACCCAAAAAUGGAAACUCCAAAGUGAUAAUAGCCUAACUUAAAAAAACCUAAACUAUUGUGAACCACAUACAGAACGUACACCUAUGGGCACCACUGUUACCCCACAAGAUAACUAA
rnacentral:rRNA from 1 species